GACGAACGCUGGUGGCGUGCUUAACACAUGCAAGUCGAACGGUAAGGCCCUUCGGGGUACACGAGUGGCGAACGGGUGAGUAACACGUGGGUGAUCUGCCCUGCACUUCGGGAUAAGCCUGGGAAACUGGGUCUAAUACCGGAUAGGACUCCGGACUGCAUGGUCUGGGGUGGAAAGCUUUUGCGGUGUGGGAUGGGCCCGCGGCCUAUCAGCUUGUUGGUGGGGUGAUGGCCUACCAAGGCGACGACGGGUAGCCGGCCUGAGAGGGUGACCGGCCACACUGGGACUGCGAUACGGCCCAGACUCCUACGGGAGGCAGCAGUGGGGAAUAUUGCACAAUGGGCGCAAGCCUGAUGCAGCGACGCCGCGUGAGGGAUGACGGCCUUCGGGUUGUAAACCUCUUUCAGCACAGACGAAGCGCAAGUGACGGUAUGUGCAGAAGAAGGACCGGCCAACUACGUGCCAGCCGCCGCGGUAA
rnacentral:rRNA from 1 species